rnacentral:rRNA from 1 species
UCACUUGUUCUUUAAAUGGGGACUUGUAUCAACGGCACCACGAGGGUUAGACUGUCUCCUUUUUCAAAUCAGUGAAAUUAAUCUCCCCGUGAAGAAGCGGGGAUACUCAUAUAAGACGAGAAGACCCCAUGGAGCUUCAAACCCAACUACACCCCUAGCUCUUAUAGCCCCACAACCCCCCCCCC